rnacentral:tRNA from 1 species
AAGAAGCAGCUUCAAACCUGCCGGGGCUU